rnacentral:lncRNA from 10 species
GGGGCGGCCGCCAUGUUUCCUGAACACAAAAUGGCGACACGUGGUUAGCAUUCGUCGCCAACGAGAAAUUGGGGUCGGCCCGAAAGCUCUAGAAUGCACCCCUCUUCCUCCCCGGGGCCUUCCACCUCCGCGAGUUUUAUGACUUAAAAAAGCCCACAGGCUGGUCUGAAGAGGAAGACAAACAUAAAGAUGAAGUGCUUAAUUCAAGGUCACACAAUGUCGGGGAUGGACCUCCAGAUUUCCUUACUGGUGAGACGUGGUCUUGUAACACAGUGGUUAAGAAUGUGACUUUGGAGCCAGCCUGCUAGGGGCUGAAUUCUGACUCAGCCAUUUACUAACUGUGUGACCUUAGGUCACAGAAUUUUCCACACUCCUUGACAGAGGUGCUUAACCCUUAUCCAUCAGCAUUCUCAGACAGCACCUCCGGUUAGGGACAGUAUCUGACCGUCCGACAUCCCUGCAGCCCCCAUGUGUCACACAGACUCAGCCUCAGGUAGAUGGUUUCCGUAGAUGGUGGCUUUCUUUGGACCCUUGACAUCAACCAGUUACUAUUUGACUCUUCUGCAGAACCCCAUGUUGACCCCUGCUUUGAGGUGGCAGAGUUAACACUACUCUUCGUUAUAAGCUCUCGUCUGGGGCAACUCAGAAGAACCUCCUGCAACCACCGCUGUACUUUCUGUCUCUAUGAACUUGACUACUCUAGACACCUCAUGGGACCAGAUGUGCAGAGGUAAUGAAUACCAGGGAAUCAGGAAACCACUGGAUCAGUUCUUUGAGCCACAGAACAACACUCAUCCCAGCAGCUGGGAAGCUAUCUGCAAAAGUCCAUCUGCAGAAAGGGCUUCCUGGUCUUGCGUGUGGCUGGGCCAUUUCUCUGGAUGCAGGUUUUUCAUUAUACAGUCUUCUCAAAGAACCACCUGCUCUCAACACC